rnacentral:rRNA from 1 species
AGUGGACGCUGGCGGUAGGCCUAACACAUGCAAGUCGAACGGCAGCACAGUAAGAGCUUGCUCUUACGGGUGGCGAGUGGCGGACGGGUGAGGCAUACAUCGGAAUCUACUUUUUCGUGGGGGAUAACGUAGGGAAACUUACGCUAAUACCGCAUACGACCUACGGGUGAAAGCAGUGGAUCUUCGGACCUUGCGCGAUUGAAUGAGCCGAUGUCGGAUUAGCUAGUUGGCGGGGUAAAGGCCCACCAAGGCGACGAUCCGUAGCUGAUCUGAGAGGAUGAUCAGCCACACUGGAACUGAGACACGGUCCAGACUCCUACGGGAGGCAGCAGUGGGGAAUAUUCGACAAUGGGCGCAAGCCUGAUCCAGCCAUACCGCGUGGGUGAAGAAGGCCUUCGGGUUGUAAAGCCCUUUUGUUGGGAAAGAAAAGCAGCAGGUGAAUACCCCGCUGUUCUGACGGUACCCAAAGAAUAAGCACCGGCUAACUUCGUG